CCCUUAGAUGUCCUGGGCCGCACGCGCGUUACACUGAUGCAUUCAACGAGCUUAUAACCUUGGCCGAGAGGCCUGGGCAAUCUUGUUAACGUGCAUCGUGAUAGGGAUAGAUUAUUGAAAUUAUUAAUCUUGAACGAGGAAUUCCUAGUAAACGCAGAUCAUCAAUCUGCAUUGAUUACGUGCCUGCCCUUUGUACACACCGCCCGUCGCACCUACCGAUUGGAUGGUCCGGUGAAGCCUCGGGAUUGUGGUUCUUGCCGCUUUAUUGUGGCGUGACCGCGAGAACUUGUCUAAACCUUAUCAUCUAGAGGAAGGUGAAGUCGUAACA
rnacentral:rRNA from 1 species